rnacentral:rRNA from 1 species
UGAGGGAUCUUCGGCAAUGGGGGCAACCCUGACCGAGCAACGCCGCGUGCGGGACGACGCCUUUCGGGGUGUAAACCGCUUUUCUGGGGGACGAGGAUGUACGGACGGUACCCCAGGAAGAAGUCUCGGCUAACUACGUGCCAGCAGCCGCGGUAAUACGUAGGAGACGAGCGUUGUCCGGAGUUACUGGGCGUAAAGGGUGCGCAGGUGGCGACGCGCGUGGGGGGUGAAAUCGCCCGGCUUAACUGGGCGGGGGCCUUCCAGACGGCGUGGCUUGAGCAGCGGAGGGGGACGUGGAAUUCCGGGUGGAGCGGUGAAAUGCGUAGAGAUCCGGAGGAACACCGACGGCGCAGGCAGCGUCCUGGCCGCUUGCUGACACUGAGGCACGAAAGCUGGGGGAGCAAACAGGAUUAGAUACCCCCGUAGUCC